rnacentral:misc_RNA from 1 species
CAGUAAUUUUAUCACCAGGUUACUUUUUUUUAUAAAAUUAUUCAUCUUAUUCACAUAUCACACAAUUGAAUUUAAUUGGUAGAUUGUGGGAUAGGGAGCGAGAAUUGGAGUAGCAAAAUUUUAGAUUCUCCGCCAUUCGAAGCUUCCCAACACCUGCUCUAAUAAUAGAACUACAAAAAAGUAACCUGGUGAUAAAAUUACUGCAAUCAGCGACAACUAUAAGAAAAAAAAUAAUAAUAAAUAGGGGGAAAGGGGCAUAAACUUUAACAUCAAUGAGAUUUCAUUGAAAGCAAAUCAUUGUUUAGGAAGGUAGUAAGGGUAUCCA